rnacentral:rRNA from 1 species
AACGAACGCUGGCGGCAGGCCUCAUACAUGCAAGUCUAACGGGUGUAGCAAUACAUCAGUGGCGCACGGGUGAGUAACGCGUGGGAAUAUGCCCUUGACUACGGAACAACCUCGGGAAACUGAGGCUAAUACCGUAUAAUGUCUCCGGACCAAAGAUUUAUCGGUCAAGGAUUAGCCCGCGUCUGAUUAGGUAGUUGGUGAGGUAACGGCUCACCAAGCCUACGAUCAGUGGCUGGUCUGAGAGGAUGAUCAGCCACACUGGGACUGAGACACGGCCCAGACUCCUACGGGAGGCAGCAGUAAGGAAUAUUGGACAAUGGGGGAAACCCUGAUCCAGCCAUGCCGCGUGAGUGAAGAAGGCCUUCGGGUUGUAAAGCUCUUUUACCCCUGACGAUAAUGACGGUAAGGGGAGAAAAAGCCACGGCUAACUUCGUGCCAGCCGCCGCUGUAA